rnacentral:lncRNA from 1 species
AAUAAUCCCAAACAGCCCCUUACCCUAUUUCAUUUUUCACCAAACGUCGCCCUUGAAUCCAUCUUCUCUCAAUUCUCUCUGCACCAUCACAUAAACCCUAGCUGCUAGCACCCUAUUUCACCUUAAUCCACCUUAAUCCCCACCUAAUCCAUGGCCUCAUAUGACCAAUUGAGAUGUAUACCGGUCUUCUACAUCUUUUGGUGGGUUGUUUGUAUGAUAUCAUGGACAAAUAUCAUAGAUAUUUGGUCUAGCCCUUGCUUGACUUCGAUCUCUGGUUCUUUUCCGGCCAUCCAUGGAUGUUCAAGUCUGAUCCUUUACUUUUAUGACUAGAUUGGUAUUUUCUAAAUCUUUUCUCACAUUCUCUGGGUUCUUUGAAAACCUAGCUCUAAUAGUUGUUCGAUAUUUCUUUCAGAUCUAUGCUUAUUACAACUUCUUAAAUGUUUUCUGAAAGGUUCUUUGAUUUUAUUUCAAAAUUACUCUUCAUUUUUUAAUGAUUAGGGUUCUCUUAACUUCUCUUAAAGAUUUAUUCUAUGAUUUUUGGUGUUGCUUUAUGAUUUUACUAUUUUCAACAACUUGUUUAUGCUUUCCUUCUAUUUGAUUCAGCAUGUUGAAAACCUUGGGUCUUUUCGUUCCUCUCUCAGUUCUGAAUUUGUCCUUGUCUAUUUGAAUGUAUAUUUGUUUGAUUAAGUUCUUUAUUUUGACUCUCUUUUCCUUGUUUGACUUAUCUGAUUCUUAGUUCUUAUCAUCUUCUAAUCUCAACUACUUUUAAAGCCCUAAUUCCUAAAAGGUUUUCCUCACUUGUUACUGUGAGACUUUACUUGUUUCUGACUCUUUUUACCUGUUACUAUGCUUUCUUCACUUUUUAUUCUGUGUAACUACCUGACUAUGCUAACAACUGUGCUUCGAGUAGAUCUCUUUUACUACUGAAACCUAGCAUAUUCCUGCUACUGCUGCAUGUUUAUGUUGUUUCUCUUGCCAAUGUAUUUGGCAAUGCAUGUUGUGAUACUAUUGUUCAUUCUAUUUAUAUAUUUAAGUGUAGAAUUAUAUUUCUUUCAAAUAUUGUGACUGAUUUCACAAGUUUUCUUAUGAACCUUAAUUCUACUCGUCUGUUUAAAUUAAUUGUAUCUUUUCCUUUACUGUGAUUUUUGAUCUUGCUGAAUCCUUUCCCAAAACUAAGCAUAUUUUAAACCUAGUCCCAAUUACUUACUUUAUACUUUUAUUGCCCUUUAUAUGGCAAUAAAUUUUUUGUCUCCAAAUGGAUUCUUUCAAUAAAUUCAAUCUGUUAGUAUCCAUUAAGCAGGGAUUCCUUAAAUAAAGAGGAUCAUGUGUGUUAAUUGAUUCUGAUUGUGAUUAUUUCCAUGUUUGUGUUAAUACUUUUCGUAUUACCUUAUUCUUCACUCAUUUUCAAAACCAUAAAUACCCUAUGCUCCCUUCUUUUAAAGGACAAACAACUUGAGUUUAGAAUACACCCUUACACUGAAAACUCUCUCUUUCUUUACUGCUACUUGUGUUAUUUCUUUGUCUAGCCGGAUGAAACUCAAAACUAGAUUGUGGAAACUUUCUUACUUUCUCUUUCUGCACUUUGCUUCUCUACUAGUAUGUCCUAGUUAACUUUCAAGCCUCAACAACAACAUGCUUUCUUUAGUUGCUUUAGUUUCUCAUUCUUGUCUACUUCUGCUUAUGUUUCUGCAGUCAUAUAUUAUUAGCAUGGUAUAAUAUGCCCCCUUACCCUUAUAAAUUAAUGCUUCCCUAUGUGUGCACUAUGUCAGUUACUUGCUGUGUGCUUGCUGUCUUAUGAAGCCAAACCCCCCAUAUUACGUUUAUGUGUUUGUAUUCCUUCAGCUGGUUUGUAUUUAUGCCCGCAACAGUUAUUGUUGUGCAUGACCAAACCAGACCCCUACCAGGGUUAUACAAUAUAUCCCCACAAUCCAUUUCCUCUUUGAAUGGCUACUAAUUCUAUGUAGUUUGUGUUUGACUACUACAACUGGUUUUAAAUCACCCUUACCACUUGUUAUUUCCAACCUGGUUUUAAUAAAUCUUUUUCAAACUGUGUUCUACACUUCAAUUAUACUCUUAGAAUGUAGGUUCUUCCCUUUUGUGUGAGCCUUUCCUUGGGACCCUUGAGCUCCCUCUGAACUUGGACACAUAAGAUUGGCCCUUCUACACUACACUCAUUCUGUUUGGUUAUGCAAAUCUAGGUGUGAGCACUACCUGGGAUCCCAUGAGGUUCUUAGGGAACUUUGACACGCCCGGAUAUGAGAAAGGCUUUAGAAUAACAUUGUCAUUGAUAUGGCUUAUUCCAUAUCUCAGAGAGGAAGUCAAGAUUAGGGUUCCUAUGGUUGUAACUUCUAUUUUUUUGUAAUUCAAUCACUUGGUCUAUAAUCAUUUUUAAACAAGUAUGGGGCUGGCUAGUGAAAAGGGCUGGGAAAUAUGCAUGCUUUAGUUAUUAAAAGGGUAGAAAGAAUGUUACUAGGUUUACAUUCCUACUUGCGCAAUAGAAUCCAUGUUUAGGACUCCUUUCAUGCAUCAGAAAUCAUGUUCUUCUGGAUUUACACAUUAUUUUUAGCAUGCUCAUUUUUACUAUCACAUCACUUAGAAAUUUAUGCUUUGAAUGUAAUCAGUAUUUCUGCAAUCAUGAUCCUACUUCCAUGUACACUUAGAGAUCAUGUUUCACGCUAGACAACAUUAACAAAUAUACCAUCUCUGCUUAUCCUAGUAAUUACUGUUCUAAACGAUGUAAUACUUGUGCAUAUCAAAAUCUUGUUUAGGUUUUUGCAUAUAUGCAUCAGUCUCCACCUUUUUUCAUUAAGAUAUCAUGUCUUUAUGAUGUUACUUGUAGUUGGUUAAACACACUUAGGCUAAUUACGAAUACAUGAAAGGUAAUGAAAACAAUUUCAUUUAGUCCUUAGAACUAAUUGGCCAUAAUUUCUAUGUAUUGAACACGUAGAACAACAUGUUUAGGUAAUAAAAAUUAUCAGUAAUCUUGAAUAACUUCUGAAUCCUAUUUAUGCCUAGGCAACCCUUAGGUAAUAACUUAAAUAAAAUUGGAACUGCCCCUAUUUAAUUAUCAACUGAUACAACCAGCAAGCAUGCCUGAUUUGGACUUUUUUCCUAGGUUAUGUAAUAAAUCUAGUUUAGACCCAAACACCCUACUUUAGGAUUUUAAAAAUGUAGAGCUUAAUUGUGUUUAAGUCAUGCUAUUUAUAUGGAUUAUUUGCAGAUGUAUACAUGAGACUUUUAGUUGUUUAUAUGUCUCCCCUCUAAAUGCAGUCCUACUAUUUUUUGUAUGUCGCCUUAGCAUUUUACAGUUACACCAAAGAGUCGGCUUAGAACUUCCUUCUUAUAGGAAUAUUAGUACACAAUUCUUCCGGGAGUAAUAUGAAUGGGACGGGUAACAACAUGCAAUAGAGGUCGAGAGCAAUCCUGGCUUUUCAUAUCUUUACGAGGUGGGAAGGGUAGAUGUGGCUAUGAUGACUGGUGCGGUAAUACCAUGUCUAUCCCAUCUUUAAAGGAGUGAUUACCGGGUAUUUCAUUGACGUGAUCUGUAUUACAAGCAAAGCUAGGACACCCUUACCUUCAUAAGCAUGCUUAGAUUGUAACUCUUUUAAAAACCUUGAUUUUCUACUUUUUUUUGGAUAAAUACUUGUGUAUUUAAAUUCAAAAUUCCCUAUUACAUGAGCCUUAUUGGCUUACUUGUUAGCUGCACAAAUUUACAAAAACUAUCUGGUCGGGAACAUCACUAGUGGAUACUAAGGGGUUGUGAGCAUAUGAUUGUUACCCGGUUGAAACAAGCUCCUACAUGACUCUUAAAGUUUAGGAUUUUCUUUAAAAUAUUUAUUAUUAGGAUUUUUAUUUUUAUAAUUUAAUUGCAUGCGCGUGUUCAUUAAUGCAUGUUUAAAUUGAUUAUGAUUUAAUUGUUAAAUAAGUUUAUUUUACAAAUUGAAAAAAUAUAUAUAUGAAAAAAAAACUAUUUCCGGGAUGUUUAAUUAUUUUUGGUUUAAUUUCAAGUUGUUGCAUUUUAUUUGUGUUAAUUAGUAUUUUUGGUUUUUAAAUAAAAUUAGGAGUUAAUAGAAGUAAAAGACAAAAAGAAGUGAAUAAAAGAAAUGACAAAUAAUAGAAAAAAUGCAUAUAUAUACACAGCCACUCAGGCUGGCCACAAUUGGGCUAGACCUGAGUGGCCCAUACCCUUUUCCCCUUUAAAAACACACACAGCCCCAGCCCAAACCACUGACCCCGGUCCAGUCCACACAAGGACCUAUCAUAACGACACCGCUUAAGAGACCAACCAUCACAACCAUUGAUCGCAUAUCAUCCAACGGUCAUCAAAGCCUUCCCCCAAACCAUAUACAUAUGUCCAAAUGCCCACAUUCAGAGACCAAGCUACCCUUCUUCCUCGUACCAUCUCCCCAGUGUAACCCCACUUUUGACUACCCAUUGACCACCCAUUGAUCACCAUUGACUACCCGCCUACCACCCUAACGUCGCUGCCAUAAAUUGCCUCACGGCGGCGGCCGGUCACCAAACCUCCCCAGUUUACACCACCGAACCACCACAAUCUUCUCUACCCCGUCCUGUGAUUAGUUCCCGUCGAACAAGUCCCCUCCGUCUCGAAUAUUCAAAAUAAGGUCGUCGGAACCACCCUCCGGCGAACUUAUUCCAAAACCCUCAAGCUUUACACCAUAGAACCACUAGGACCUCCCCUUCCCUGUUUUGCAGUCUGUUCCCUUCGAACACCCCCCAUCGUCUCAAAUAUUCACAGAAAGGUCAUCAAAAACCCUAUCUCCGGCGACCCAAUUCCUAAACCCUCCAAACUUACACCCCUGAGGCAGCUUGAUCUCCUCUGGCGACCUUAUUCAAAACUUCCCCAAGUUCACACCAUAGGGCCAUUAGAACCUCCCCUUCCGCGUCCUGCAUCCCACUCCCUUCGAACACCUCCCCAUCGUCUCAAGUAUUCACAAAACGGUCGUCCGGACUCCAUCUCCGGCGACCCAACUCCAAACCCAUCCAAACUUACACCCCUGAAACACCUCAAUCUCCUCUUUCCACCCAUGUGUGUCACACCUUUCAAAUCUGCCUGAAAGGCGUCGAAUAUUGAUUCGGAGUUCAACCCCAAGAUCCCAACCCUGUCGGAACUUACUCAAGCUCCUCCCAGGCAACCCUUGGCCUUUACCCUCCCCAACCAUACCCUACACAAUCUCCCAAUACCGCCAAUCACCGAGAAAAAUCAAAUUUGACACCUCACAGGGUCUCAGAAUUACCAGAACCUCCGGUCCUGAACCUCUAAAACCCAUCAACCUAUAAUAAGUUGCUAGAAACCCAUGUGGAAGGGGUCAAGAACUAAUGAAAUGGUCUAGAGUGUAUGUGCAUAAAAAAGCUAAGUAUUCUGUAUACUUUCUUCAUUUCUUUAGCUUUUAUAUGUUUGAUUUCUUUUUAAUAAUUGUUUGUUUGUCCACAAUUUCAUAUUAAAUGGAUUUAGUAGUUAUAUGCCUAUUAGUUUGAAGUCCCAUUGUCUUGAUUUCUUUUGAAUAAUUUUUUUUUUUUCCACAACCUCAUAUGAAAUGGGUUCAGUAGUUGUACGCCUUUGUUUGUUAUUAGUUCGAAACCCCUUCGUUUCUUGAAUAAUUUGACAUUCUGUUAAUAUUAGCUUCUUGAUCAAUGUAAUUCUCAUAGUUUUUUAUCUUCGUCUCCUGAUCUUUAUUUGCUUUAUUCCCGGAUAUUCUGAUCAACUUGGUUAAGUUGUUUAGGCUACCAAGCAUUUGAUUCUUAUAAUAAUGUUGAUCUUUAGUACUGGAAUAAUUCAGGCUGAUUUGUGUGGGUGAAUCUUUAAUUGCUUUCUAAUUUUUUCAAUCCCUGUUUGAAGCUUUAUUUGAGUGAUUUAAUUAGGAUUUUCUUGUAAUGAGUAUUAGUUGAUUGGUCUUCUGGUUGACAGUGAUCCAUUGGUCAUAAUACAAAGACACCUGAAUGUUUACGAUCCUAAGUUAAAUAACUGAUAAACCUAAUCCAUAUUAGGACACCUAGUUGCAUGGAUCCAAUGGACCUGCUAGUCCAAGACCCAAACCUUGGCCCAUAACCCAAAUACAAUUGACCAGGGUCAAGGAAUAGUUGAGGUUAAAAACUUCAGGAGGGUAAUUUCGGAAAGGAAGUAGGGGUAUAAAAGGGACUAAAACACAAUUUCUGCCUCAAACUUGAGGCACAAGUCAUGAAAUGAAGGACCAUUUAGGAAAAGUGCAAAUUUGAAGCAAGGACUAAAGGAAAAACAAGGAAAAAACUGAUGCCCUAAGGCUCAACUAUAAAAGAAACCACCUGAGCACAUUCUGAGGAUCCGAAACCUUUCCUUUGAAUUCUAGAGAUAAAUAUACAUAUUAGCUCUUCCUAUAUCUGGGAGACACCAUUAGUGUUGUUUCAAUAAAUUUUUUGAAGACUUAAUUCCUUAAAAACUCUGCUGAAGUCCUGGGUGCACUGUUUCAUUGGCUACUAAUUGUUAGCUGAUUCAUUAUAUUUGCUCAUAGGCUUUGCUUUCAUCUGAAUUACAGGUACCUUCACUGUUCAUUGAUGUAUUGAAUCUCAAGUAAAAUGUAUUCUUAGCAUGAAGAUCUACUUCUAUUUUCAUUUUUUUGUUUUGAAUCCCCACCCUGUUCUUCCCCUCCAUUAGUGUUAAUAUACUCACCUUGUUGUAAUCAGACAUUUGAACUGUUUCAUUCUGUAAUAACUGAACAUUAGAGACUGGUUUAUUUGUAGUAUCAGGACAUUCGAACUAUUAUUUU